GCCAGACUCCUACGGGAGGCAGCAGUGAGGAAUAUUGGGCAAUGGAGGCAACUCUGACCCAGCCAUGCCGCGUGAGUGAAGAAGGUUUUCGGAUUGUAAAGCUCUUUCGGAUGUGACGAUGAUGACGGUAGCAUCUAAAGAAGCCCCGGCUAACUUCGUGCCAGCAGCCGCGGUAAUACGUAGGGGGCAAGCGUUAUCCGGAUUUACUGGGUGUAAAGGGAGCGUAGACGGUUACGCAAGUCUGGAGUGAAAGGCGGGGGCCCAACCCCCGGACUGCUUUGGAAACUGUAUAACUGGAGUGCAGGAGAGGUAAGUGGAAUUCCUAGUGUAGCGGUGAAAUGCGUAGAUAUUAGGAGGAACACCAGUGGCGAAGGCGGCUUACUGGACUGUAACUGACGUUGAGGCUCGAAAGCGUGGGGAGCAAACAGGAUUAGAUACCCCAGUAUA
rnacentral:rRNA from 1 species